rnacentral:rRNA from 1 species
AGAGUUUGAUCCUGGUUCAGAACGAACGCUGGCGGCAGGCCUAACACAUGCAAGUCGAACGCGUCCUUGGGGACGAGUGGCAGACGGGUGAGUAACGCGUGGGAACGUACCCUUUGGUUCGGAACAACAGCGGGAAACUGCUGCUAAUACCGGAUAAGCCCUUCGGGGGAAAGAUUUAUCGCCAGAGGAUCGGCCCGCGUUAGAUUAGCUUGUUGGUGAGGUAAUGGCUCACCAAGGCUACGAUCUAUAGCUGGUCUGAGAGGAUGAUCAGCCACACUGGGACUGAGACACGGCCCAGACUCUUACGGGAGGCAGCAGUGGGGAAUCUUGGACAAUGGGCGAAAGCCUGAUCCAGCCAUGCCGCGUGAAUGAUGAAGGCCCUAGGGUUGUAAAAUUCUUUCGACGGGGAAGAUAAUGACGGUACCCGUAGAAGAAGCUCCGGCUAACUUCGUGCCAGCAGCCGCGGUAAUACGAAGGGGGCUAGCGUUGUUCGGAAUUACUGGGCGUAAAGCGCACGUAGGCGGAUCGAUAAGUAAGAGGUGAAAUCCCAGAGC